GGAACGGCAGUGAUCACACGUCGGCUGCUGGGAAGAUCUGGAUUCUCGUUUCAGGUCACCAUCAGAAAAGCUAAGUUUGCUGUAUAGUGAGGAUCAGGAGAUCUGAUCCUGAUUGCAGAACCUUCCCUGAUUACAGAAUCUUCGAUGAUUUCACAAAAGUUCAUCUUCAUUGCAGAUACCUGCCUUUCUUUCUAGGUUGUAUCUCCCACUUCACCCUUCUAGACCAUCCCAGAAGAUCUAUAAGAUUUCAUCUGGGAAAUCACUAGGAGUUCUUGGAAGGGAAAGAAGGAAGAUUGUUGGUUGGAAUAAAAACAGGGUUGAAUGAGUUCCAGAAAGCAGGGUUCUCAACCUCGUGGACAGCAAUCUGCAG
rnacentral:sRNA from 1 species